GACGAACGCUGGCGGCGUGCUUAACACAUGCAAGUCGAACGAUGAAGCUAGAGCUUGCUCUGGUGGAUUAGUGGCGAACGGGUGAGUAACACGUGAGUAACCUGCCCCGAACUCUGGGAUAACUGCUGGAGACGGUAGCUAAUACCGGAUAUGACCAAUGAAGGCAUCUUCUGUUGGUGGAAAGAAUUUCGGUUCGGGAUGGACUCGCGGCCUAUCAGCUUGUUGGUGAGGUAACGGCUCACCAAGGCGACGACGGGUAGCCGGCCUGAGAGGGUGAUCGGCCACACUGGGACUGAGACACGGCCCAGACCCCUACGGGAGGCAGCAGUAGGGAAUUUUGCACAAUGGACGAGAGUCUGAUGCAGCAACGCUGCGUGAAGGAUGAAGGUUUUCGGAUCGUAAACUUCUUUUAUCAGGGAAUAAUUAUGAAGGUACCUGAUGAAUAAGCACCGGCUAACUACGUGCCAGCCGCCGCAGUAA
rnacentral:rRNA from 1 species